GGGUUGGUGGUGUAGUGGUAACAUACGCUGCGGCUACUGUCGCUCCCGCAGCAAGUCCUAGGUUCAAUUCCUGGCCAACCUG